rnacentral:snRNA from 1 species
CUACUUGUUUCUCCAGCACAUACACCAAAGUUAGAACAAUGUAGGGAAGAUUAGCAUGGGCCCUGCAUAAAGGUGACAUGCAAAUAUGUUCCAUAUUUUU